UCGAGAGAAGGAUGCAGAGAGAUGACAGCGAUGAGCUUUAGAGGCAGCAGCGGACGCCUCGCCUCCGAAGACAGCUUUGGGAACUGACGAAAGGACUAGAAGCAAACGGCCUGCAACCGUAGAUGUCAUCAACGAACCUCAAGUGUGCAUUAAGCCUGUGUUUACAGACGUUGUCGUCAAGACUGAACCUCUGGACACUGCAGAUGAUUCGUCUGUCAGUGGCUGCUGUGACACCUGCACAACAGUAGACGGUCACGAGCACGAAUGCGACAUCUGUCACAAGAUCUUCAACACGUGCCUGCACCUCCUUCAGCAUUCCGUUGUGCACUACAAGGAGGUUCCGUUCAUGUGUUCAAAUUGCGGAGCAGUGUUUGCGCGCCGGGAAGACAAGGAGAAGCACGAGGGCACACACACCGACAAGGAGGUGCACCAGUGCGUGAGGUGCGGCAUGUUGUGCCUGAAUGAGACAAUGUUCCGGCUACACAUUCUGGAACACUAUGGCCAGCCUUCGUUCGACUGCCACUUGUGCCCUAUGGUGUUUCCGUUAGAGGAACAGCUUAUAAGUCAUUUACAAAUCCACGGCGAGGAACCAGUUCAUAGGUGCCCACAAUGUGAUGCCACAUUUAGGAGCAAAGGUUGGCUUUCAAAGCACCUUAAAUCCCACCACGCUGUUUGAAGUUACCGGUGUCAAUACUGCCCCAAGGCCUUACAGGGGCAAGCUAGUGUGGAGGAGUUCGAGAGAAUCCACACUGCAGUGCAUUAUGUGAAUUUUUCUUAUGUUUCCCGAGACUGAAGUGAUUCUGUGCAUUUGUGCCAGCCACAUGGAACAAAGUGUUCAAGGGUCUGUGAUCUAGGGGUGGCCAUGUGAUCUCUUCUUCCCUGUGAACUUAUUUUUGUAAAUAGCAGCCAAUAAAGCUUUAUGUAAAGGAAACUUAAUUAUCGUAUUUUGCGAGUGGCUCCGAAAUUGCGUUACUGAUGCUCUUAGGAAGCUGUCUGCAACUGUGCAUGACCAAGAAUGCAAAUAUUUCAAGCACGAUCUUUUGGCAUCCACUGUGAAAUCUUGAAAGAUCCACAUGAAACUUCUCACGCACACAGUGACACACCAAAUUAGUCAGAACUGAUAAAGCUUUUUUUUUGACAACUCUAUUAAAUGCGAUUAAUUCCGCAAUGAUGGGUUCAUCAUCGGAAAAGUAAGCGGUCAAAUCUCCAUAUUUGAAUUUCCCGCCGAAACUCAAGCAUCCGA
rnacentral:misc_RNA from 1 species